rnacentral:tRNA from 1 species
GUCUCUGUGGUACAAUUGGUUAGAGCAUUCAGCUGUUAACCGAAAGGUUGGUGGUUUAAGCCCACCCAGGGAUG